rnacentral:rRNA from 1 species
CAGUCGCCGCGGGAAAACGAAGGGUGCAAGCGUUACUCGGAAUUACUGGGCGUAAAGCGUGCGUAGGUGGUGGUUUAAGUCCGUUGUGAAAGCCCUGGGCUCAACCUGGGAAUUGCAGUGGAUACUGGGUCACUAGAGUGUGGUAGAGGAUAGUGGAAUUUCCGGUGUAGCAGUGAAAUGCGUAGAGAUCGGAAGGAACAUCUGUGGCGAAGGCGACUAUCUGGGCCAACACUGACACUGAGGCACGAAAGCGUGGGGAGCAAACAGGAUUAGAUACCCGAGUAGUCCCUGUCUCUUAUAA